ensembl:lncRNA
UUUUUCUUUUUAGGGCCACACCUGUGACAUAUGGAAGUUCCCAGGCUAGGGGUCAAUUCAGAGCUGCAGCUGCCAGCCUACACCACAGCCACAGUAACAACAGAUCCAAGACUUGUCUGUGACCUACACCACAGCUCAUGACAACACUGGAUCCUUAACCCACUGAGUAAGGCCAGGGAUCAAAUCUCCAUCUUCACUGAUACUAGUCAGGUUCGUAACCCACUGAGGCCAAACAAGAACUUCCAGCAGAAACAAAUUUUCAGCGGCAUGGAGUUGGAGGGGUAAAUGAGAAACACAGUACAUAAGUAAACUAUAUACUAUUAUACGCUGUCAUUUUCACUGCCUUUUUUCCUAAUGGGGACCAUAGUUUCUCUCUUCAUAGGUUCACGUGAGCUCUAAGUGAGCUAAUUUAUUGUGAAUGCAUUUUUUAAAAGAUAAAGAGUUCCCCAAAUGAUGACCCAUGACUCAGAUCUUGAAAACCAAUUCUGCCAUUGAUGAGUGGAAUAUAAGGACAUAAAAAUAUAAUAGAAGAGGAAAAAAAAUCCAUUUUCACCACAGGAUAAGAAUGUAUUGAACUUAAAUUAUGAAUGAGUAUUAAUAGCAAUAGAGUGCUUUUUAUGUGCCCACUAAGCAUUGUAUGUGCCUGAAAGAGACAUGACUAUAGCUUAGAGAUCAUAGAAUAGGCAGACCAGGGUCCAGUCAGGGGUACAGGCACCUGAACAGAUGAUUCUAACACAGUGUGGUAACUGUGUGGGGAGGAAUCCAGAGAAAGUGCUAUGGGGCCACCAGAGGGGUGAUUUGUUUCCGUUGGUACAGCCAGUGGAGGCUGGUGCUUGAAUAGUGAAUGGAGUUUCACAGAGAAGUAAGAAAAGAGUAAAAAUAACAAUUCACAUGUUCUCUUUCCAAAAUGAUAUUAUGCAAAAGUAGGGCAUUAAAGUCUUUGGUGAUAACACUGACAUUCUUGCAAUAGUCUUGGCCCUCAAAACUCAGUGCAGUGGUGAAUGUCAAUUUCAUCAACAUACCUCAGGCUCUGUAGGUAUUUGUCUUCUACUCAACUACAUAAAAGAAAGGGAGGGGGCCAAAUAAAAUAGUACGAACAACCAUCCAUCAACAUCACAGUUCUGUAAGGAGACAAAUUUGGAUUGAAUUUCCUCAGCAGACUAUUUGGGUCUUCAUGUUCAUCAAAGGAUUUCAUUUAAACUACCAUUAAAGUAAAAUUAAGCUGGUAUUAACCUUGUCUAUUCAGAUGAUGCCGUUGCAAGGUAAACACACCAUUCUGACGUGCACGAAAAUGAAAUGAUAAAUUGAUUCACACAGAGCUUAGAAUGGAUGGAGUCCUUCUAAUGAGUGAUCACCUGUGGAAUAACUAUAUUGAUUGUGUUUGUACAUGUCAAAUGAGGCUGGCAAGGAUGAACUUGAAGAAAUCAAUCUUGGAACCUGCUAGGAUAGCAGCCUCCUACUUUCACAGGUACUAAAUCAUGAACUUAAAAAAAAAUAAAAUAAAACCCCCAAAACCUGCAAAAGUUUGUAUGGUACACCAAUCUCUUCCCGACACUAUUUGACUUGGUGAAGGAUUUCUUGUCAACAUAGAAGACAAACGCGUGCUCAAAUAAUGAUUUGUGGAAGACAAAUAAUUACAAAAGUUCACUUGGAAACUCACUCUUCCAAUUCCUGUCCGCUUGAUACCAUGAAGAGGAAUUAUUUGUUUCUAUUUCUAUUUAUUUUUCUUGUAACUGCAAAAGUAUAUUUGGAGACCCACAUUCUUCUUUCCCUUCUUCUCUCAGUACAACGAUGCUAUUUCUAUGCAUCUUUCUAUAUGUUGGCUUAAUAUUAAUUAAAAGAAAUAUCUGAGAACAAAUGUGGCAAUGUUUCUAGUUUUAUAUUUUACUGGGAACCACUCCCAAGUAAGUGGGGAUACGUAUGCAUAUGUACACGUGCUGGGCACAAACAUCCACACACAGACUACAUCCAUAUACAUAACAAUCAUGUGUAAAAAGUGUGUCACUUAGAAAUAGUUUGCUAGCAGAAUGAAGUGUUACUCCUCACCUGCCCUCUUACAUUAAGAGAGUCUGAGGAUCUGUGGAAUAGGUUCAUGGAGCUCAUGAAAGUUUUUGCAUCUAUUCUGGAGGAAAAUUUCCCAAGGCAGAUCAGGAGUGAGGAUUGCUGUCAGAGCAGAUAAAACAACACAAGGUCCAGGUCCUGAAUACACCCCACUACUGCUGAAGCAUGCCAUCCCCUGGUCUCUGAAGAAAGGCUUAUGAAACCUGGGGCUAGGAUGCCCAGACAGGAACUAGUGACCCAAAUCUCUCCCUUAUGCUAGAGAUGAUGUUUUCAUGUUGUUUUAUUUUUCCUUUUAAACAGGGAAGACAUGCAUAAUGUCUAGAUCAUCCUGACACAGCAGCCUGGCAGAGCAAUUCAUUUUCAAGCUUGCCUGGUGAUUUUUCUUCCCCGCUGUAUUCAAACAACAGGCCAGUUCAGGGACAAAAAGGACUUUCCAGUAGCAACAGAAUUUCAUCUAUUGACACAUCACUUUCGUUGCUUUGAACUCAUGCUUUUAGACACUUUAGAAGAAAAAAAAAAUCUUAUCUCAUGAAUCUCUGGUUGAAAAAGCAUUCACCCCUUUUAUCUUUCUUUACCAGUUAUUAACAUAACUGUAGCAAAAGUUAUAGAAAAAUGUACAGGGGAAUAAGAUGUUUUUAUGUAAUGAAUUUGCAGCAAUUUGUGUUUGUCAAUAUCAUGUCAUUUUAUGCCAUGUAAAGUUAGGAAGCGAAAUCACAGAAUAGUUACUCGUCUGUAAUCAUUUGGCAUGGAACAUUCCUGCAAGAAACCUGACCCGCAAAGACUCUGUUGGUGGCUACAGGGACAACAUAUUUUAGGUGCGAGUGCAUAUGGGAUGUUAGGCACUGUGAUAUGAAUACAGGAGAUUAGCACGUUAACCUCCUUAGCUGUAUAUCUCAACUCCUACCAUGAUUUUAAAAUCAUCUUGGCUCACCAUCAGAGUAGAUAUUUUUCUCAGGAAUGGUAGAGAAUCUGAGAUACAGGGAUUGUAUUCUGAGUGUACAAUUUAAUGCAUAGCUUUUAGCCAAGGAUAUUCUACAGGAAAAUUAUAUGAGAUGCACCUUCUCCUUACUCUCUCAAAUAUUAAAUGUAUGAAAUCCAGCUGAAAUGAAAGUUGAGAGCUUUCUUAAAGGGGAGAUUUUAACAAAAAGACACUAUUGCCUGUGUGAGGAUGGAAGCGGGAUGAAGCCUCCACCAGGAUGAAGGAUGUUUUGCAAUAUUCUCCUUUGACUGACAUACAAAAAAAGAAAGAAAGAAAAUGGAUCUAUGCGAUGGUUUUACCAAUUUCCAGGCCUAUUAAUCCUAAAUUCAUUAUUAAAUAAUACUGUAAUACAAAAUAAUUGUUUGAAUGUUCAGAUGCUUAAAUAUUUUCCUACUUCUCCUUUUCCCUUUCAUCUUAAUGAAUAUUAUAGAUACUUUAAAAAGAUGAUAGCUUCCUGAAUGAAGCAAUGUUCCUAUGGGCUAGAUAUCAGGCACAUUUUUAGCAUUUUCAAAUUCAGCUAAAGAGCUGAAGCAAAGUUUUCCAUUUUCAUUUUUUGGAUCAAUAAGGCUGUGAAACUCAUUUUUUCUUUUUAGGAAGCAAUGCAUGUAAUUCAAUUACUGCAACUAUGAAUUUUUAAUUUGGUCCCUCAUGUUGGUAUACUUAAAAAGUGAGGUUUUUUAGAAGUAUAGUAGAUUGGUAGUUGUAAGAGAACAGUAGGUAUGUCUGAAUCUGUACACAAUUUGUAAGUGAAAUUAGUACUGAAACCUAACCUUCUUGAAGACUGUCAGAGAGUAUUGAUCAGUCUUGGAGGCGUGGUUGAUUCAUCGCUGAUAUAAAAUCGUGCUGGGCAAAACUAAAAUAAAAUAAAAAUUGAGAAACCACAUUGAGCUCUAAGGUCAAAGAGCCCUAAGAAAUAGUCACUGUGGCAUGAAAUGCAGGUUUCAUUUUUCUUUCCACUUGGAUAAGAAUAACAACACCAGCCAUAUAUUCUCAUUAAACAAUGAUGUAUUAUAAAGGAAAUUUCCAAAUUGCGGAAAAUUUGCAAAAUGCAUAGAAGCAUUAAGGAAAAAUGAAAAUCACCUCUAAUCCAUUGUCUACCAGACAGGCAAUGUGAACAUUAUAAUUCUACAUCUCUUUCCAACAUUUCUCUAUGCUUAAUUUCCACAGAAUUCUAAAACUAUGGAGGGUUACAUUCUGCUCUUUCACUAAAAUUAUUACGGAAGCAUUUACCAUGCCAUUGAAAAUUAGGUAAUUAGACACUGAAUCUCAAAAAAAAAGAGAGAUAGAUAGAAGGAUGAUAGAUAGGUAAUUAAGGGCACUGCUUCAUUAAGUAGUGAAUUUUGUAUGUGUGCUUGUAUGAUGCUUAGGGAAAGUGUCAUAUUAAAGGCACUCCUUCUGUAAAUCUUUUAUCUCAGUUUUAGUAGUAUGUCAGAAUUAACCAAAAAAAAAUAUAGGACCAAAGAGUAUAGGACCAUCUGGAGUAUAGCAUAACAAUUUUAUAAACAGAGAUCCUAUAAUAGUGCAUUUCACUAUCAUAAAAUACCACAUCUAAAUUAGAAAUAGUGUACUAACCACUUUUUGGUAUUGCUAUAUUUAUUAACUCUUUUUGUACAUGAGUGCAUGUCUUUUUCCCCACUUGGCUAUCUCUACCUCUUUGUCCUAUAUCCUCCUAUAUCAAACUUUUAACUGUAGAAAAUAAGCUCUGAAUUUUCCUUAUACACUAAAGCUCAAAUCACUUGUCCUAAAAACCAACCUAAAUGUCCAUCCACAGAUGAUUGGAUUAAGAAGAUAUGGUAUAUAUACACAAUGGAAUAGUACUCAGUCAUAAAAAAGAAAAACAUAAUGCCAUUUGAAGCAACAUGGAUGGAACUAGAGACUCUCAUACUAAGUAAGUCAGAAAGAGAAAGACAAAUACCAUAUGAUAUCACUUAUAUCUAGAAUCUAACAUAUGGCCCAAAUGAACCUUUUCACAGAAAAGAAAAUCAUGGACAUGGAGAUCAGACUUUUGGUUGCCAAGAGGGAAGGGGAGGGAGUGGGAUGGACUGGGAAUUUGGAGUUAACAGAUGCAAACUAUUGCCUUUGGAAUGGAUAAGCAAUGGGAUCCUUCUAUAUAGCAUUGAGAACCAUGUCUGGUCACUUGUGAUAGAGCAUGAUAAUGUGAGAAAAAAGAACGUAUACAUGUAUGUGUGACUGGGUCACCUUUCUGUGCAAUAGAAAAAUAAAUAAAUAAAAGGUAGCAUUUCACAAAAAAAAACCCAAACUGGACUAUUAAUAUUAAUUUCAUACCCACAUAUUUUCUGAUAAUUACAUCUAUUUUGAUAAAUAAUGGUAAAAAUAACACUACUGUUAAAAACUUGAAUUCCAAAACUGUGUGAUUAUAGUUGAAUCUGCUAUAGAUUCAAUAGCUUCUAGAGAAAACCUAAUGCUUCCAUUCUCCUUAUUUAGUACGUUUUUAGUUUACCCUCUUAUAUAUAUAUAUUUUUUUGCCAUCCUUAAUCCUCCUAUUUUUUUCAAAUUUUUAAUUUUUUUUUUUUUUUUUAGGGCUGCAUGUGCAGCAUAUGAAGUUCCUAGACUAGCGAUCAAAUCAGAGCUGCAGCUGCUGGCC